rnacentral:lncRNA from 1 species
ACACAACUACGGGAAACAAACAGAGGAAGAACUUCUUUGCCAGCCUUGGCUGCAAAUGUUCGUGUUCAGAUAAGAAUUCGGUUGAUGUGGAUGAACACGUCGGCGAGAUCAGCUUCAAGAAGAACGACAAUGGUGCAAACACAAGCUGCACGACAACACCAAUUAAUCAUAAACCUCCUGGUGUGGCAGAGAUUGUUGAUGAAGUUGUAGUUGAUAUGAAAAAAAACGAAAAGCUCGAAAAGUUAGGAGUUGAGUUGGGAAGAGAGAACUGUUUUACUUUCCCAACUUUAAAAUCCGGGGCGGGGAGUUUGCCGCCGAAGAUGCUUCCCUUUCAACAAGCAGAAGAGGAAGCAGAGAAAGUGAGGAAGUCUCUGGAGGUGUUCGGCUCCCCUG